UCAUUUUCUCCUCCUCUUUCUCUUUUCUUCUUCUCUUUUCUUCUUCUCGUCCUUCGCCGGUUGGUGAAUUAGGAAUCUGAAUUAGAGAUUUUUGUGAUCACGAGAAGCAGGGAACAAUCGAGUGUUAGUUGAUGGUGGUGGUUGAUUAUUCUGGUGAACUCAAAUCAGCAGACAAGUUAGUCUUUAUUAACAACGAUCGAUUCAAGGAUGAAGUCGUGGAUCGUGGAUCUCGAGGUAGGCAUGGCUUGUCAUCAAUUCAGGGUACUCAUUGAGAAAAAAACUUUUGGGAGACCAACAUAUUGCAGAGUUAUUUCUGCUUCUGCUAAUAAUGUUCAAAGGCAAACAUCAUCUGCUGCUCCUGCUCAACCUCAAAAUCAUUACCAGUGCCCCACAAAUAAUGGUGAAGGUAGUGACAAUGAUCGUGGUCGUGGACAAAGAGAAAACUUUCAUUCUUUUGGAAAUUAUCCUCAAUUUUCUCUUGCCCUUAUUUCUUAAAUUUGUAACUGUUAUGGUCACACUGCACUUAAUUGUUAAAAUAGGCAUGGUAAUGGAUACCAUGUGAAUCUAGUUGCAAUAAAUAUGGAUACUCAUGCUCCAACUUACAACUA